CUCUGAGGAUAAAGCCACCCAGCCCUGGCCCUGCAGCUCUGGGAGAGGAGCCCCAGCCCGGGAUUCCCAGCUGCUCCCAUUCUCUGAUCAGGACUGAGCACAGACGACUCGCCAUGGAGCUGGGGCUGAGCUGGGUGGUCCUGGCUGCUCUUCUACAAGGUGUCCAGGCUGAGGUGCAGCUGGUGGAGUCUGGGGGAGGCUUGGUGCAGCCUGGGGGGUCUCUGAGACUCUCCUGUGCAGCCUCUGGAUUCACUUUUGAUGAUUAUGCCAUGAGCUGGGUCCGACAGGCUCCAGGGAAGGGGCUGGAGUGGGUCUCAGCUAUUAGCUGGAAUGGUGGUAGCACAUACUAUGCAGAAUCCAUGAAGGGCCGAUUCACCAUCUCCAGAGACAACGCCAAGAACACGCUGUAUCUGCAAAUGAACAGUCUGAAAUCUGAGGACACGGCCGUGUAUUACUGUGCAAAGACACAGUGAGGGAAAGUCGGUGUGA